rnacentral:rRNA from 1 species
UACGUAGGGGGCGAGCGUUGUUCGGAAUUACUGGGCGUAAAGGGCGUGUAGGCGGUGCGGUAAGUUGGGCGUGAAAUCCCCGAGCUUAACUCGGGUGGGUCGUUCAAGACUGCCGUGCUAGGGUGCGGGAGAGGGAAGUGGAAUUUCCGGUGUAGCGGUGAAAUGCGUAGAUAUCGGGAGGAACACCUGCGGCGAAGGCGGCUUCCUGGACCGUAACCGACGCUGAGGCGCGAAAGCUAGGGGAG